UUAAAGGGUGAAAGGGCCGGCUAGGGUUAGGAGGUUGUUUCUUAGAGAAGGUAGGGAGUUGUAAAGGAAUAGAGUCUUGAGUUGAAGUCCUAUUAGGAGAUGGUUAGAAGUAGGAGUCUAUUAGGAGUUAGGGUUUAGAAACCCUAUAACUAAUAUGUAUUCCUCCUCUUUUGAUAAACAAUAGAUGAAUCUUUUUGCACCCUUUGAGCAGCAACAACUUGGGGAGGAACCCCUAUAGAGUUCCAAGGAGGCCUAUCCCAAAAGAGAUCAACCCCAAGAUUAGAAUCUACCUGGGUUCUAACAAUCGACCAAUGGGCUCCUUAUCUGACCGUCUUGAAACACGGACCAAGGAGUCGACAUGCGUGCGAUUCGGCGGUCUUGAGGACUUAGGAAGGCACAAAGAAGCUAGCGGGAACCCUCUUGAGGGUUGCACCUACCGGCGACCCGAUCUUCUUUGAAGGGUUCCGAGUAGGACCAUGCAUGUCCCGAGGACCCGAAAGAUGGUGAACUAUGCACGAGGCAAAGCGGAGACUCACGGUGGGGCCCAGCGAUCUUGGCGAUCUAAAUCGUUUUAUGGACUUGGGUAUAGGGCGAAAAGACUAAUCAACCAUCUAGUAGCUAGUUCCCUCAGAAGUUUCCCUCGGGAUGAGUUGGAGCCCGCGUCUGAUUCUAUCAAAGUAAAACCAAUGAUUAGAGGCAUGGGGGGCAGCGCCCUCGACCUAUUCUCAAACAUUAAAUAGGUAGGAAGGCGCACACGGUACCUUCGUUGAGCUAUGUCGAGAUCGAAGAGCUCCAAGGGGCCAUUUUGUUAAGCAAUAGGCGUGUGGGAUGAGCGGGCCCAGAUUCAGGUUAACCCAACUUCUGCGCUAACCCAGACACCACAAAGGGUGUUGAUCGAUUAAGACAACAGGGCGGUGGUCAUGGAAGUCAAAUCCGCUAAGGUGUUAAACAACUCUCUGUUGAAUCAACAAACAUGUCCAGCGGAUGGUACAUUUGAAGCGCGACCCACACCAUCGGCGGAAGCGAGUGCAAGCCACAGAUGAGUAGGAGGUGUGGUGGUGUAACCGCCAAAACCCGGGCAAAGCCGGUGGGCGGCCGUCGUUGCAAAUCUUGGUAGUAGUAGCAAAUAUUCAAAUGGAAACUUUGAAGGCGAAGAGCGGUUUCCAUGUGAACGACAUUUGCAUAUGGGUUAAGCAAAUCCUAAGGGGCAGGCCGUCCAGAAAGCUUAAUCUCCGUGUGAGCUCGAAAGGAAUCAGGUUAAAAUUCCCGGGGCAGCUCGCGGCGGGCAACAACGUUAAGAAAUCAGGAGGCGUCGGCGGGGCCAGGAAGAGUUAUCUUUUCUUCUUAAUAGCCAGCCCACCACGGGAAAUAGCUUAAGUGGGAGGUAGGGUCCAGCGGUGGGCGCUUACCGUCGUCUUUGGCGUCGGUCGCAAGGCGGACAACGAAAUCAGGAGGAUCGUGUCACUUCACUUUUAGUCCACUCAUAACCCAUGUCGGUCUCCAAGGUGAAUAGCCUCUAGCCCAUGGAACAAUGUAGGUAAAGAAGGCGGCAAAAACAGAUCAAAUAACUUGGGGAAAAAGGAUUGGCUCUGGUGGUACCGGGGGUCCCGACCCCGAACACAUCGGUGUCGACAGGCUGCUCGAGCUAUCUGUGGCGAAGGCCGGGUAAGGCUUGUGCGGCCAGGGAAUGACUGAAGCAGCCCCCCGGGGGAGCCUUCCACUGGGCAUCGAGCAGCCGGCUUCGAAUGGGUUCAUUACAGAAGGGGAAUCCGACUAUUUAAUUAAAACAAAGCAUUGCGAUGGUCCCAGCGGAUGCUCCGCCAAUGUGAUUUCUGCCCGAUCUACGAAUGUCAAAGUGAAGAAAUUCAACCAAGCAUGGGUAAGCGGGGAGUAACUAUGACUCUCUUAAGGUAGCCAAUUGACUCAUCAUCUAAUUAGUGGCGGGAUUAGCGAGAUUUCCACUAUCCUAUCUACUAUCCGGUGAAACCAUAGCCAAGGAGCAGGCUGAAAAUCGGCGGGGAAAGACCUGUUGAAGCUUGACUCUAGUCUGACUUUGUGAAAUGACUUGAGAAGGUGUUGGAUAAGUGGGGCUAGUUCCAGCGGCGGAAGUGAAAUACCACUACUUUUAGCGUUAUUUUACUUAUUCGUGAGUCGAGAUGGGGCCGGCCCCGCCUUUUGGACCCAAAGCACGCCUAAGCCGGGCUGCUCGGCGGAAGAUAUUGUCCCGUAGGGGGAGUUUUGUGCGAGGCGGCAUCUGUUAAAAGAUAACUUGGGGUGUCCUAAGAUGAACUCAGCGAGAACAUAAAUAUUUAAUGUGGAACAAAUGGGUAAAAAGCUUCGUUUGAUUGAUUUCAGUCACGAAUAUGAACCAUGGCGUGGCCUAUUGAUCGUGAGACCCUCGAAUUGAAGCUAGAGGUGUCAUAAAAGUUACCCGGAGGGGAUAAAUGGCUUGUGGCAGCUAAAGCGUUCAUAAGCGAAGUUGCUUUUGAUCGCCGAUGUAUUCUUCCUAUCAUUUGAAAACAGAAUUCACCAAGUGUUGGAUUGUUCACCCACCAAUAGAGGCGUGAGCUGGGUUUAGAGCAUCGUGAGAUAGGUUAACUUUACCCUCUACUGAUGAUGCCGCGAUAGUAAUUCAACCUAGUAAUGCAAGGAACCAUUGAUUCACACAAUUGGUCAUCGCGCGGUUCAAAAGCGAUGGCUGUAGCUUCGUGUGUCGAUUAUGACCGAAUGCCUCUAAAGUCGAGAAUCUAGCAAGCAACCAGCGCUCUCGCCCGCCGUUAAGCCUCCGACCGACAAUGGGGCCUUUGGCCCCAUGCGCUCAUGUCGCUGGUGUAGCCCCGUGGUGGUAUAGCCAUUGGUAGCCAUCGGGAAGUGAAAUUCUG
rnacentral:rRNA from 1 species